rnacentral:lncRNA from 1 species
GAAAAAUCAGCCUACUGUUGGUAUUUCCUUGUCCUGAUCUUCCUAGAAGAUUUAAAAUGCAUCUUCUUUUUCAGCUGCGUGAAAUCUGGUAAUGUUUUCCCUGAAAGAAACCUUAGGAAUUAACUACACCUUUGAGACAGCACAACGAGGCUGGAGUCCACUCCCAUCGAUGCCACUGGAGGUUACACCAUAAAGGGGGAUUGCUACAAUUAUUUUCUACAUUCCCAUUGAAUGUCCAUACAUCCUAGUAGAAUAGAAACAGCAUCUCCUUUCCUGGUGGUGCGGACUUGGCCUCCAAAGCCACCUCUUGCUGCAACAUUUUUCUCCUGAGGCUCAGCUUGCACUUCCAUGUGGUUCCUAGCCUUAAGAGUCACUAAUGAGAGCGAGCAAUGCGCAGACCAGCUCUGUCAUCUGAGCAAACCCCCUAAUGCUUCCACGGACAUUUAAUUAAGCAGAUUCCUGUCAUGCUUUUGGUGCUGGUUUUGGUACCAUCCCAGAGCCCAGAAGAACCUCAGGACAGGCUGGACCAGUAUUACAGAACGGUUUGGAAGAAACAUCCUUGAGGAAAGAAGGUUGGUGUUUUCAUCUUCCAAGGAAUGAGGGAAGACAAUCUCAAGGAUGUUCACCCAGAGCUCCUGGUACAUAACGGUUUGGUUUUACUUCUUUGGGAGGAUUCUUAUGUUAGCUGAUAGAGCUUUGCUAAAACCGGAGAGGAUAGGAAGAAAGCUGGUCAAACUAUUGGAGUACACACUGACGGCUAGGAAAUGUCCAUGCAACUCUUGACAGGGUUUUUCAGGCCUGUCUUGUUCACUGCUGUAAAACUGUUUCCCAAAUGAAUAAGUGGGAACUGAUGUGAUAAAUAGAUAUUUGUGUGCUGCUGAACUAUACCCAGGGAGUGCAGCCAAAGUUAUUUUGAAGACGUGUUUUAUUCACCUUGUUGAGAGUGUUUGUUUUUGUUUUUUCCACUUUGUUUCAAAUGAAUUUUUGGAUGAUAAUUUUAAGAUAUCAAUCUUAAAAUUCCCCUUUCUGGAAGAAGAGGACAUAGAAAUAAAUGCAAAAAAAAAAAAAAAAAAAAGAAAAAA